GGCAAGAUUUAGGAGAAAAAUAUCAUAUAAGACAAUUACACAAGCCUCGUCUUUAAGCAAGACACGGCGAAGAAUGAUCAUACGAACACAAAUGAAGCGCGAGCAAGAGACCACACAAUAAAGAUGAACCAUCAAUAGAAGCGCGAAGAAUCAACUAGUAGCCCGACAUACAACGACAGCUUCUAAAUCCUGGCGUAUAAUAAGAUAGACCGAAAUAAAAUCAGGUUGAUCGGAGUUAGACUACAUUUUUGUAGGUUGAUGACCAAGCACGAAUGCUUCUUAAUUUUGCUCAUAACCCACCGAGAAGCUCUUAGAAUUCUCCAAACAGCGGAAUUGUAGUGGCAACUAAGGAUUGGGCGUCUACUUCAUUUUCCAGAACGGAUGUAGUAUUUUCAAGUUGCUCCCUCAUUAUAAGAUGGCCGGGAUGGGUCUGAAAAUGGCCAAGAGUUUCUUGAAUCUAGAUAUGUGACGGGUGAUUCUAAUUCAAUUGUUUGACUCGUUUUUUUCUGGUUAUUAUUAUUUAAUGGGAUGGAUGAUUACAGAAUUCGAACCCUCAUCUCCGUUAUGGUUGGCAUACCAAUAUCGGAUUUUUGAAAUUCUUAAAAACUGCCAAAAUCUCAUUUGUGGGUCCCACAGUCAAGAUAGAAAACUCUGGUUGCCUCUCAAUAACCUCAUCAUCAUCCUAUAAAAUCUACUCAGUCUUGUCUUAACCCCGCCAUUGAAAGGGAUUUGAAUCCAAUCUAUCUGUUUUCUGUUCAAAUAUGACUGACGACUCAAGCAACCAGCAAUACUUUGGCCACAUUUGGCAGUGCCUAAGUCGAAUAUCAACCGAGUUUUCACAAUCUUCGGUGACCCGAGAAAAACUGGUCUUGAAUUCAUUCAGAGCGUAUGUGAAUGGAUUACCUUUAACUUACUUCUUAAUUCAUCAACUCUCAUUUCCGAAUUCCAAAAUUCCUACAGAGAUUUUCAUUUUAAACUCUUGUUUCAGUGAUUUGUAUUUGGAAUGGCUGUUGGCAAUUUCAUUUGUAGCCGGGAUUUCUAAACUACCGUUGGAAUUUUGCAGAGGCAAAAUCUGCAAUGGAGGGUAGUUAAUCCGGUUAUGUUAGUAGUGGAUGAGAGUUGCCAUACAUGGUACACUCAACUGCAACAUAGCAGAAUCGAUUCCAUCAAAUGGCAUGUUUUCAUCGGAGGCCGGCCGCCGUCUUCAAGUUUCGGCACUAGAGAUGGUAAGUGGAAGUCCUAGUACAUUUCACUUGUACCGCUAAUUUCUACCAUACCAAAUGUUUUCCAUCUUGUAAUAUUUUUUAAAUUUUGCAGUAUUAAGCAGUGAACAUCUGAAAAAGCCUUUGGAAAAGUCCCAAUCAAUGUACUACUGGAAAACCAUAGGGGGUUGCCA